GUGUAUAGAGUGGCGCACGGGUGAGUAACACGUAAGUAAUCUACCCUCGAGUGGGGGAUAACGUCCCGAAAGGGACGCUAAUACCGCAUGACAUCCCGCCUUUGAACAGGUGGAGAUCAGAGCUGGGGAUCGCAAGACCUAGCGCUGGAAGAGGGGCCCGCGCCUGAUUAGCUAGUUGGUGGGGUAACGGCUCACCAAGGCAACGAUCAGUAUCCGGCCUGAGAGGGCGGACGGACACACUGGGACUGAGACACGGCCCAGACUCCUACGGGAGGCAGCAGUGGGGAAUUGUUCGCAAUGGGCGCAAGCCUGACGACGCAACGCCGCGUGGAGGAUGAAGACCUUCGGGUCGUAAACUCCUUUCGAUCGAGACGAACGGCCUCCGGGUGAACAAUCCGGAGGAGUGACGGUACCGAGAGAAGAAGCCCCGGCUAACUCCGUGCCAGCAGCCGCGGUAAUACGGGGGGGGCAAGCGUUGUUCGGAAUUACUGGGCGUAAAGGGCUCGUAGGUGGCCAACUAAGUCAGACGUGAAAUCCCUCGGCUUAACCGGGGAACUGCGUCUGAUACUGGAUGGCUAGAGUUCGGGAGAGGGAUGCGGAAUUCCAGGUGUAGCGGUGAAAUGCGUAGAUAUCUGGAGGAACACCGGUGGCGAAGGCGGCAUCCUGGACCGACACUGACACUGAGGAGCGAAAGCCAGGGGAGCAAACGGGAUUAGAUACCCCGGUAGUCCUGGCCCUAAACGAUGAAUG
rnacentral:rRNA from 1 species